GAACCUUACCAACUUUUGACAUGUCCCGUAUGGGUUUCAGAGAUGAGAUCCUUCAGUUCGGCUGGCGGGAACACAGGUGCUGCAUGGCUGUCGUCAGCUCGCGUCGUGAGAUGUUGGGUUAAGUCCCGCAACGAGCGCAACCCUCGGCCUUAGUUGCCAUCAUUCAGUUGGGCACUCUAAGGCGACUGCCGGUGAUAAGCCGGAGGAAGGUGGGGAUGACGUCAAGUCCUCAUGGCCCUUACAGGUUGGGCUACACACGUGCUACAAUGGCGGUGACAGAGGGACGCGAAGGCGCGAGCCUUGGCAAAUCUCAAAAAGCCGUCUCAGUUCGGAUUGGGGUCUGCAACUCGACCCCAUGAAGUUGGAAUCGCUAGUAAUCGCAGAUCAGCACGCUGCGGUGAAUACGUUCCCGGGCCUUGUCACACCGA
rnacentral:rRNA from 1 species